rnacentral:rRNA from 1 species
UACGGGGGGGGCAAGCGUUGUUCGGAAUUACUGGGCGUAAAGGGCUCGUAGGCGGCCAACUAAGUCCGACGUGAAAUCCCCGGGCUUAACCUGGGAAUGGCAUUUGGGACUGCAAGGCUCGAGUGCGGCAGAGGAGACUGGAAUUCCUGGUGUAGCAGUGAAAUGCGUAGAUAUCAGGAGGAACACCGAUGGCGAAGGCAGGUCUCUGGGCUGACACUGACGCUCAUGCACGAAAGCGUGGGGAGCAAACAGG